rnacentral:rRNA from 1 species
ACGGGAGGCAGCAGUGAGGAAUAUUGGUCAAUGGGCGGAAGCCUGAACCAGCCAAGUAGCGUGCAGGAUGACGGCCCUAUGGGUUGUAAACUGCUUUUGUACGGGAAUAAAGUGACCUACGUGUAGGUUUUUGCAUGUACCGUAAGAAUAAGGACCGGCUAAUUCCGUGCCAGCAGCCGCGGUAAUACGGAAGGUCCGGGCGUUAUCCGGAUUUAUUGGGUUUAAAGGGAGCGUAGGCCGUGCUUUAAGCGUGUUGUGAAAUGUAGGCGCCCAACGUCUGCACUGCAGCGCGAACUGGAGCACUUGAGUACGCAGGAAGUAGGCGGAAUUCGUCGUGUAGCGGUGAAAUGCUUAGAUAUGACGAAGAACUCCGAUUGCGAAGGCAGCCUUCUGGAGUGCGAUUGACGCUGAGGCUCGAAAGCGCGGGUAUCAAACAGGAUUAGAUACCCUGGUU